rnacentral:rRNA from 1 species
AUUGAACGCUGGCGGCAUGCCUUACACAUGCAAGUCGAACGGCAGCACGGGUGCUUGCACCUGGUGGCGAGUGGCGAACGGGUGAGUAAUACAUCGGAACAUGUCCUGUAGUGGGGGAUAGCCCGGCGAAAGCCGGAUUAAUACCGCAUACGAUCUACGGAUGAAAGCGGGGGACCUUCGGGCCUCGCGCUAUAGGGUUGGCCGAUGGCUGAUUAGCUAGUUGGUGGGGUAAAGGCCUACCAAGGCGACGAUCAGUAGAUGGUCUGAGAGGACGACCAGCCACACUGGGAUUGAGACACGGCCCAGACUCCUACGGGAGGCAGCAGUGGGGAAUUUUGGACAAUGGGCGAAAGCCUGAUCCAGCAAUGCCGCGUGUGAAGAAGGCCUUCGGGUUGUAAAGCACUUUUGUCCGGAAAGAAAUCCUUGGCUCUAAUACAGUCGGGGGAUGACGGUACCGGAAGAAUAAGCACCGGCUAACUACGUG